GACGAACCGUGCGAACGUUGUUCGGAAUCACUGGGCUUAAAGGGCGCGUAGGCGGGCGCCGCGUCCGGGGUGAAAUCCUCCCGCCUCAACGGGAGAACGGCCUCGGAUACGGGCGGCCUGGAGGGGGGUAGGGGCAGGCGGAACGCUGGGUGGAGCGGUGAAAUGCGUUGAUAUCCAGCGGAACUCCGGUGGCGAAGGCGGCCUGCUGGAUCCUCACUGACGCUGAGGCGCGAAAGCCAGGGGAGCGAACGGG
rnacentral:rRNA from 1 species